GUGCUCCCUUUGGCAGCACAUACACUAAAAUUGGAACGAUACAGAGAUUAGCAUGGCCCCUGAGCAAGGAUGACAUGCAAAUUUGUGAAGCGUUCCAUAUUUUU
ensembl:snRNA U6 U6 spliceosomal RNA